AGAAAGAAACAAACAAGUAAUCGAGUAUUUAAAUUAAUUGAUGGAACUAAUACGUGUAUAAAUCCCUGAGAUAUAGGGAAAUGCUUUCAUUCCUAUUAUUCUAAGUUAUAUAAUCUGAUCCCUCAAACAAAUGAAGAACAAAUUAAUGCAUAUUUGAAGAGAUCUUCUCUCCCUUCUUUGUCCGAAAAUCAAAAAGAUUCUUUAAAUAGACCUAUUUGUAAUGAGG